UGGGUAGUAGCUCAGUGGCAGAGCUCCAGAUUCGUAUGCGACAAGGCCAGGGUUCAAUUCCCUGCUGCUUAC
rnacentral:tRNA from 1 species